rnacentral:lncRNA from 1 species
AGUAGUCCAGCUGUCGCAGCUCGUCCGCAGACAUCUGUAUGGGCGGCGGACUGUCGCACGUCACGUACGUCGACAGCGCGUUGAAGUUCAACAGCCCGAGGCUGCUCAGACUCGCAGCUUUGGCCUUUUGGGUUACAAGGUCGUGUUUUAGGGCGUCGGCUUGUAGUUCUUUUUCUAGGUCGUUGUCCUG